AGAUGGCGACCGGCGCACGGUGAGUAACGCGUAUCCAACCUCCUGCCAGUAGGGAACAGCCCGGCGAAAGUCGGAUUAAUGCCCUAUGUUCUCAAUGCGGACAUCUAAGUUGAAGGAAAGAUUCAUCGCUGGCAGAUGGGGAUGCGUCCGAUUAGCUUGCCGGCGGGGUAACGGCCCACCGGGGCGACGAUCGGUAGGGGUUCUGAGAGGAAGGUCCCCCACACUGGUACUGAGACACGGACCAGACUCCUACGGGAGGCAGCAGUGAGGAAUAUUGGUCAAUGGGCGUAAGCCUGAACCAGCCAAGUAGCGUGCAGGAAUGACGGCCCUACGGGUUGUAAACUGCUUUUAUGCGGGGAUAAAGUGCGGCACGUGUGCCGCUUUGCAGGUACCGCAUGAAUAAGGACCGGCUAAUUCCGUGCCAGCAGCAGC
rnacentral:rRNA from 1 species